CGUGACUCGACACGUGGUCUGUAGCGUCAUUCAUGUAUUCGCGGGCGGAGGAAAAGCUAACGACUGGCGAAAGAAGAAUUUAAGGACAUAAUAUACAGCACAAGUAUAGAAGCCGGGGGACAAGACGACAUGUUCACAGGGUCAAGUAACCAAAGUUUUUUGCAGCAGUGUGAUCCUGCUCCACCAGAACACGAGAAACAGAUGUCUUUGGAACAAGUACUCUUUCUUGGAAGAAGUUGAGAUGGUGCAAGUAGAGGCCGGGGGACAAGACUGCAUGUUCACUAAGCUUUGGACAUGCGCAUGACCCCCGGAUUUCAGUCUUUGGAACAGGAACUGAUCAAGCUAAAGGCGUGUGACAGAGCGACUUUUUCUUGGAAGAAGUGCAGACAGCGCAAGUAGAGGCCAGGGGACAAGACUGCAUGUUCACUAAGGUGAGGUAACCAUUUUGUUGCAGCUGUGGACAUGCUCAAGACCCCCGGAUCGCAAGAAUCGUUGGACCUCAUGAACUCCAGACCCAAGUACAGUUUGCAAGCGGAGUCGUUCGAUGGAUUGUGCAGAAUAAUUGAUCUGGUCACCUCGCGCUGGGGACACACUGACAGACAUCCAACAAACUGUCUCAGAAGAAUCCUGCUGCAGCAACGCAACAUUUGAUCAAAGGCUCAUGGUCCGUGUAGUGCUGACGAUGACAUUCAAGGAUCGUCGGCCAUGUGACGUUAGCUGAGUGACUGAAACACACUCCGCUUAAUUGCAUUUAUUGCAUUUUAUGAAAAAAAAACACUGUUUAAACUUGUAUGCAGUAAUUUCAUAGACAUGUGUUUUGAUAUAAUCUCAAUUUCAUCUUUUAAUGCAUUUUCACUUAUUUUUGAUGUUUACUUUUAAAUUGAAAUGUAUUCACUCCUUAAACUCUCACAAGAAACAAUACAAAUGUAUCUUCCAAAAAAACAAAUAUUUUAGUGACUUGUGACAGUUGCAUCACAAAUCCUAAGUCCAUUGACUUUAACCAUAACUCAGUCACCUAAUUUGCCAGUUUAUGAAACUGCACAGACCUGCAUACUAGUUGCUGUUAUUUAACGGGGAAUGGUCGUCUUAUCAAAGUUUUAAGCAUUGAAGCAAGUUGAGUCUUGAAUUAUUCAAACUUCCCUAAUUUUGAAGUCAUUUUCGUUGCAAUUUUUUUUUCCUGUUUAUUUUUUUGCAUGAGUAUAUUUGUAGUGAAAAGUAUUAAUUUUGUUAUCGACAUAAGUAUAUGUCGCAAACACUGCAAGUUUUGUUCGUUUUUCGGAUUUGCUUCCUGGAUGGUCAGAAAUGUAUUGUUAAUUUAGGGAAGUAUGUGUACGAUAAUGUCUGAAGUAAAAUCUGUUUUAAAGUACAAAUAAAUGAGUUUGACAGCA